rfam:Ornithorhynchus anatinus chromosome 1, whole genome shotgun sequence.
CCCCUCUCAGGUUUGUACCUGGAGAGUUUCCAGUACUUUACCAGUCUGAACUAUGAGAGGGAGAGUCAAGCAGAGGUCUACCCAUUCCAUUCCUAGCUUGGGCAGUGCCUAACAAAUGGAAGGCAAUCUGCUACAAGU